rnacentral:rRNA from 1 species
UACGUAGGGACCAAGCGUUGUCCGGAAUCAUUGGGCGUAAAGAGCGUGUAGGCGGCUUGUUAAGUCUUGCGUGAAAUCUCGGGGCUCAACCCCGAGCGGUCGUGAGAAACUGGCAGGCUAGAGUGCGGGAGAGGAGAGUGGAAUUCCUGGUGUAGCGGUGAAAUGCGCAGAUAUCAGGAAGAACACCCGUGGCGAAGGCAGCUCGCU